rnacentral:rRNA from 1 species
GAGUUUGAUCCUGGCUCAGAUUGAACGCUGGCGGCAUGCCUUACACAUGCAAGUCGAACGGUAACGGGUCCUUCGGAGUGCCGACGAGUGGCGAACGGGUGGAGUAAUAUAUCGGAACGUGCCCAGUAGUGGGGAGUAACUGCUCGAAAGAGCAGCUAAUACCGCAUACGACCUGAGGGUGAAAGGGGGGAGUCGCAAGACCUCUCGCUAUUGGAGCGGCCGAUAUCAGAUUAGCUAGUUGGUGGGGUAAAGGCCUACCAAGGCAACGAUCUGUAGUUGGUCUGAGAGGACGACCAGCCACACUGGGACUGAGACACGGCCCAGACUCCUACGGGAGGCAGCAGUGGGGAAUUUUGGACAAUGGGCGCAAGCCUGAUCCAGCAAUGCCGCGUGCAGG